rnacentral:rRNA from 1 species
GCCCAGCCGUAAACUUUUAUUUACACCCAUAUCGCCCGGGAACUACGAGCCAAGCUUAAAACCCAAAGGACUUGACGGUACCCCACAUCCACCUAGAGGAGCCUGUCCUAUAAUCGAUAAUCCCCGCUUAACCUCACCAUUUCUAGCAUAACAGCCUAUAUACCUCCGUCGUCAGCUUACCCCGUGAGUGACCCUUAGUGGGCUUAAUGUCUUUACAUCAGUACGUCAGGUCAAGGUGCAGUAAAUGAAAUGGGAAGAGAUGGGCUACACUCUCUAAUAUAGAGUAUACGAAAAACUGUAUGAAAUUUAGUUAGAAGGCGGAUUUAGAAGUAAAAAAAGACCAUAAAGCUUUUUUUAAUACGGCACUGGGGUGCGUACAUACCGCCCGUCACCCUCCUCAAAGCCUAAAGACAGUAUUUAACACAAUAACAGCUAAUUAGAAGAGGCAAGUCGUAACAUGGUAAGUGUACCGGAAGGUGCACUUGGAAA